rfam:Camelus ferus unplaced genomic scaffold scaffold715, whole genome shotgun sequence.
GGAGGGUACAGCUCAGUGGUAGAGCGCAGGCCUAGCAUGCAGGAGGUCCUGGGUUCAAUCCCCAGUUCCUCCA